UAAGGACUUACUCUUCAAUAUCACACAUUUACUUGUACCUUAUCUUGUAACUCUUCCUAAUGGAUACAAAGUAAAAGUGACUUCAACUGGCUCUUUUGCUUUAACUCCCUCCAUUACUCUUCAUAAUGUACUGUUUGUUCUAUCUUUCAAACACAAUUUAAUUUCUGUCCACAAGCUAGUGAAACAGUAGCACUGUAUUGUCUUAUUUACUGCAACUUCUUGUUUCCUUCACAUGUUACAGGCCCCUUCUCUCAAGAUGCCUCUGGAUCUUGGUAAAGAGGAGGCUGGUCUGUACAAAUUUGCUUGGAUGACCCCUUCAUCUUCUUCUAUUAAUUUUUCUUCUUCCACUUCUGUAUGCUCCAAUAAAGAUUCUUGUACUCCUGUUUGUUCUUAUGAUCUUACUCUUGUUGCUUUACAUUCCCAUGUAAACAGUUCCAUUUGUCACAAUAAAAUUGAUGAUAAUGACAUGAACUACAUUUGGCAUUUAAGACUGGCUCACAUUCCUUUUGCACACAUGAAACACAUUUCUGCUUUAUCUUUUCCUUUUGCUUCUAUGGCUGUUUCCCCUGUAGUUUGUCCUUUCCUUUUGCACAUAUGAAGCACAUUUCUGCUUUAUCUUUUCCCUUUGCUUCUAAACAGCCUUUUCCCCGUUCUGUUUGUCCCAUGGCUAGGCAAACUAGACUCCUUUUUCCUGACAGUUUAAUCAGUACAUGUAGACCUUUCCAACUUAUUCAUGUAGACACUUGGGGCCCUUAUCACACACCCACCUCUUCU
rnacentral:lncRNA from 1 species